rnacentral:rRNA from 1 species
UACGUAGGGGGCUAGCGUUGUCCGGAAUCAUUGGGCGUAAAGCGCGCGUAGGCGGCCCGGUAAGUCCGCUGUGAAAGUCAAAGGCUCAACCUUUGAAUGUCAGCGGAUACUGCCGGGCUAGAGUCCGGAAGAGGCGAGUGGAACUCCUGGUGUAGCGGUGGAAUGCGCAGAUAUCAGGAAGAACACCAACGGCGAAGGCAGCUCGCUGGGACGGAACUGACGCUAAGGGCGCGAAAAGCGUGGGGAGCGAACAGG